rnacentral:rRNA from 1 species
ACGAACGCUGGCGGCGUGCUUAACACAUGCAAGUCGAACGGAAAGGCCCUGCUUUUGUGGGGUGCUCGAGUGGCGAACGGGUGAGUAACACGUGAGUAACCUGCCCUUGACUUUGGGAUAACUUCAGGAAACUGGGGCUAAUACCGGAUAGGAGCUCCUGCUGCAUGGUGGGGGUUGGAAAGUUUCGGCGGUUGGGGAUGGACUCGCGGCUUAUCAGCUUGUUGGUGGGGUAGUGGCUUACCAAGGCUUUGACGGGUAGCCGGCCUGAGAGGGUGACCGGCCACAUUGGGACUGAGAUACGGCCCAGACUCCUACGGGAGGCAGCAGUGGGGAAUAUUGCACAAUGGGCGGAAGCCUGAUGCAGCAACGCCGCGUGCGGGAUGACGGCCUUCGGGUUGUAAACCGCUUUCGCUUGUGACGAAGCGUGAGUGACGGUAAUGGGUAAAGAAGCACCGGCUAACUACGUG